UACGUAGGGUGCAAGCGUUAAUCGGAAUUACUGGGCGUAAAGCGUGCGCGGCGGUUAUGUAAGACAGAUGUGAAAUGCCCGGGCUUAACCUGGGAACUGCAUUUGUGACUGCAUGGCUAGAGUUUGGCAGAGGGGGGUAGAAUUCCACGUGUAGCGGUGAAAUGCGCAGAUAUCAGGAGGAACACCGGUGGCGAAGGCGGGACUCUGGGCCGAUACUGACGCUGAGGAGCGAAAGCGUGGGGAGCAAACAGG
rnacentral:rRNA from 1 species